AAAAUGGCUAACACGUUUGCCUACAGACGACAUGAGGUGGUAAACCAAGAACCAAGCAUUCAGGAACUGAAGGACAGAUGGCCUGCACUCUUCACACAGAAAGAGAUAAAUACGGAGUUCCAGAGGCUCAUGGCUGUUCCUCUUGAGUGGAAGUUCAUGGCCCAGUUAGACAUGCACUCAAGUCAGCUGAUCAAAGUCAUACGUGCCAAAGGAGGAGCAACACGCCAAAAGGUUGCGAACAUCAUGGACACAUUGGACCAGACUGUGGACAUUAAUCAUCGGAGG